rnacentral:rRNA from 1 species
UUUUGGAGAAUAGAUGUGGACCGUAUAUUACAAAUCCCUCUAUCCCAUCAUAGUUUGGAGGAUGAUGUUGCAUGGCACUUUACAAAGAAUGGAGUAUACAACAUUCGCUCUGGCUAUUACAAAGAAUGGGAAGAUCAAUAUGGUCCAAAAGUUGGUGGUUAGGCUAGACAAUCGAGUACACCGGAUCAUCCGGUUUGGAAGAGGCUGUGGAAGUUAAAGCUACCGGGGAAAGUCAAAAUCUUCAUAGGGAGAUGCUUGCAUAACACCAUCCCUUUUAAGUCUACACUAGCCAACAGGCAUAUUCCCACGAGUGGGCAGUGCCCUAUUUGUCAGCAAGGGGCGGAACAUAUUAAGCAUGCGCUCUUCACAUGUUCCCGUGCUAGGUUGAUAUGGUCUGAGUUGGGCUUGCAAAGUGUCAUAGAUGAGGCGAUUCCAAUUGACAGGUCAGGUGCGAGGGUGAUGGAGUCUCUUCUGUGCGACGACGGGUUUCAACGGAAGUAUAUGGAUAUUAUUGAUAUACCUGGAGCCAUAGCCUCUACUAGCUGGCACCUUUGGUGGCAGCGAAGGGAGUUAGUCAGAGGGGAACAAGUCCAAGAUCCGGUCCGCACAACUAUGGCCAUCCAGGCCCUAUCUUUGAACUUUGUCCGAGCGGUCGGGAAAACCAAUCCAAUGCCUCGUCAAAACACUUGGAAGAAACCACUGUCAGGGAUGCAAGUACUAGAUGUAGAUGCCUCUUUCUUUGAAGAAGAUCACUCGGGCUCUUGUGGAAUGGUGGUGAGGGACCAUAAUGGCGGAUUUAUAGCAGCUGCAGUAACUCAAAUGUCUCAUGUGGCUGAUGUAGUGGUAGUUGAGGCCGAGGCAAUGCACCAAGGUAUCAUGUUCAUACGCGGUCUUGGGUGUGAUAGCAUUAUGGUCCAAUCUGAUAGCUCGAUCGUCAUGGAUGCUUUGAGGAUGAAUGAAGGGUAUGCUUUGGUGGCUGCACCAAUUCUUGAGGAUUGCCGUAAUUUGCUUAAAGAUUUCGGGAAGGUCAUUAUCGAACAUUGUAGUAGAGAGUCGAACAUGGUUGCUCAUGAGCUAGCUAGCUUUGGGAUGGGUAAUCCACCGACGGUGUGGUCGGAUACACCUCCCUUUUUCAUUCUGAAUGCUUUGUCAAAUGAUGUAAGUUUAUUAUGA